GGUUAAGCGACUAAGCGUACACGGUGGAUGCCCUGGCAGUCAGAGGCGAUGAAGGGCGUGCUAAUCUGCGAUAAGCGCCGGUAAGGUGAUAUGAACCGUUAUAACCGGCGAUACCCGAAUGGGGAAACCCAGUGUGACUCGUCACACUAUCAUUAACUGAAUCCAUAGGUUAAUGAGGCGAACCGGGGGAACUGAAACAUCUAAGUACCCCGAGGAAAAGAAAUCAACCGAGAUUCCCCCAGUAGCGGCGAGCGAACGGGGAGGAGCCCAGAGCCUGAAUCAGCAUGUGUGUUAGUGGAAGCGUCUGGAAAGGCGCGCGAUACAGGGUGACAGCCCCGUACACAAAAGCGCAUGUGCUGUGAGCUCGAUGAGUAGGGCGGGACACGUGGUAUCCUGUCUGAAUAUGGGGGGACCAUCCUCCAAGGCUAAAUACUCCUGACUGACCGAUAGUGAACCAGUACCGUGAGGGAAAGGCGAAAAGAACCCCGGCGAGGGGAGUGAAAAAGAACCUGAAACCGUGUACGUACAAGCAGUGGGAGCACAGGUUUACCUGUGUGACUGCGUACCUUUUGUAUAAUGGGUCAGCGACUUAUAUUCUGUAGCAAGGUUAACCGUAUAGGGGAGCCGUAGGGAAACCGAGUCUUAACCGGGCGUUAAGUUGCAGGGUAUAGACCCGAAACCCGGUGAUCUAGCCAUGGGCAGGUUGAAGGUUGGGUAACACUAACUGGAGGACCGAACCGACUAAUGUUGAAAAAUUAGCGGAUGACCUGUGGCUGGGGGUGAAAGGCCAAUCAAACCGGGAGAUAGCUGGUUCUCCCCGAAAGCUAUUUAGGUAGCGCCUCGUGAAUUCAUCUCCGGGGGUAGAGCACUGUUUCGGCUAGGGGGCCAUCCCGGCUUACCAACCCGAUGCAAACUGCGAAUACCGGAGAAUGUUAUCACGGGAGACACACGGCGGGUGCUAACGUCCGUCGUGAAGAGGGAAACAACCCAGACCGCCAGCUAAGGUCCCAAAGUCAUGGUUAAGUGGGAAACGAUGUGGGAAGGCCCAGACAGCCAGGAUGUUGGCUUAGAAGCAGCCAUCAUUUAAAGAAAGCGUAAUAGCUCACUGGUCGAGUCGGCCUGCGCGGAAGAUGUAACGGGGCUAAACCAUGCACCGAAGCUGCGGCAGCGACGCUGAUGCGUUGUUGGGUAGGGGAGCGUUCUGUAAGCCUGUGAAGGUGGCCUGUGAGGGUUGCUGGAGGUAUCAGAAGUGCGAAUGCUGACAUAAGUAACGAUAAAGCGGGUGAAAAGCCCGCUCGCCGGAAGACCAAGGGUUCCUGUCCAACGUUAAUCGGGGCAGGGUGAGUCGACCCCUAAGGCGAGGCCGAAAGGCGUAGUCGAUGGGAAACGGGUUAAUAUUCCCGUACUUGGUGUUACUGCGAAGGGGGGACGGAGAAGGCUAUGUUGGCCGGGCGACGGUUGUCCCGGUUUAAGCGUGUAGGUGUGUGUUCCAGGUAAAUCCGGUUCACUUUAACACUGAGGCGUGAUGACGAGGCACUACGGUGCUGAAGCAACAAAUGCCCUGCUUCCAGGAAAAGCCUCUAAGCAUCAGGUAACAUCAAAUCGUACCCCAAACCGACACAGGUGGUCAGGUAGAGAAUACCAAGGCGCUUGAGAGAACUCGGGUGAAGGAACUAGGCAAAAUGGUGCCGUAACUUCGGGAGAAGGCACGCUGACACGUAGGUGAAGUGAUUUACUCAUGGAGCUGAAGUCAGUCGAAGAUACCAGCUGGCUGCAACUGUUUAUUAAAAACACAGCACUGUGCAAACACGAAAGUGGACGUAUACGGUGUGACGCCUGCCCGGUGCCGGAAGGUUAAUUGAUGGGGUCAGCGCAAGCGAAGCUCCUGAUCGAAGCCCCGGUAAACGGCGGCCGUAACUAUAACGGUCCUAAGGUAGCGAAAUUCCUUGUCGGGUAAGUUCCGACCUGCACGAAUGGCGUAAUGAUGGCCAGGCUGUCUCCACCCGAGACUCAGUGAAAUUGAACUCGCUGUGAAGAUGCAGUGUACCCGCGGCAAGACGGAAAGACCCCGUGAACCUUUACUAUAGCUUGACACUGAACAUUGAGCCUUGAUGUGUAGGAUAGGUGGGAGGCUUUGAAGCGUGGACGCCAGUCUGCAUGGAGCCGGCCUUGAAAUACCACCCUUUAAUGUUUGAUGUUCUAACGUGGACCCGUGAUCCGGGUUGCGGACAGUGUCUGGUGGGUAGUUUGACUGGGGCGGUCUCCUCCUAAAGAGUAACGGAGGAGCACGAAGGUUGGCUAAUCCUGGUCGGACAUCAGGAGGUUAGUGCAAUGGCAUAAGCCAGCUUGACUGCGAGCGUGACGGCGCGAGCAGGUGCGAAAGCAGGUCAUAGUGAUCCGGUGGUUCUGAAUGGAAGGGCCAUCGCUCAACGGAUAAAAGGUACUCCGGGGAUAACAGGCUGAUACCGCCCAAGAGUUCAUAUCGACGGCGGUGUUUGGCACCUCGAUGUCGGCUCAUCACAUCCUGGGGCUGAAGUAGGUCCCAAGGGUAUGGCUGUUCGCCAUUUAAAGUGGUACGCGAGCUGGGUUUAGAACGUCGUGAGACAGUUCGGUCCCUAUCUGCCGUGGGCGCUGGAGAACUGAGGGGGGCUGCUCCUAGUACGAGAGGACCGGAGUGGACGCAUCACUGGUGUUCGG
rnacentral:rRNA from 1 species